GAUGUACGCUGGCGGCGUGUCUAAUUCAUGCAAGUCGAGCGAACAGAUGAGGAGCUUGCUCCUCUGACGUUAGCGGCGGACGGGUGAGUAACACGUGGAUAACCUACCUAUAAGACUGGGAUAACUUAGGGAAACCGGAGCUAAUACCGGAUAAUAUAUUGAACCGCAUGGUUCAAUAGUGAAAGACGGUUUUGCUGUCACUUAUAGAUGGAUCCGCGCCGCAUUAGCUAGUUGGUAAGGUAACGGCUUACCAAGGCAACGAUGCGUAGCCGACCUGAGAGGGUGAUCGGCCACGCUGGAACUGAGACACGGUCCAGCCUCCUACGGAAGGCAGCAGUAGGGAAUCUUCCGCAAUGGGCGAAAGCCUGACGGAGCAACGCCCCGUGAGUGAUGAAGGUCUUCGGUUCGUAAAACUCUGUUAUUAGGGAAGACCAAAUGUGUAAGUAACUAUGCACGUCUUGACGGUACCUAAUCAGAAAGCCACGGCUAACUACGUG
rnacentral:rRNA from 1 species